rnacentral:rRNA from 1 species
GAUGAACGCUGGCGGCGUGCCUAAUACAUGCAAGUCGAGCGAACAGAUGAGGAGCUUGCUCCUCUGACGUUAGCGGCGGACGGGUGAGUAACACGUGGAUAACCUACCUAUAAGACUGGGAUAACUUCGGGAAACCGGAGCUAAUACCGGAUAAUAUAUUGAACCGCAUGGUUCAAUAGUGAAAGACGGUUUUGCUGUCACUUAUAGAUGGAUCCGCGCCGCAUUAGCUAGUUGGUAAGGUAACGGCUUACCAAGGCAACGAUGCGUAGCCGACCUGAGAGGGUGAUCGGCCACACUGGAACUGAGACACGGUCCAGACUCCUACGGGAGGCAGCAGUAGGGAAUCUUCCGCAAUGGGCGAAAGCCUGACGGAGCAACGCCGCGUGAGUGAUGAAGGUCUUCGGAUCGUAAAACUCUGUUAUUAGGGAAGAACAAAUGUGUAAGUAACUAUGCACGUCUUGACGGUACCUAAUAAGAAAGCCACGGCUAACUACGUG